GACGAACGCUGGCGGCGUGCUUAACACAUGCAAGUCGAACGGAAAGGCCCUGCUUUUGUGGGGUGCUCGAGUGGCGAACGGGUGAGUAACACGUGAGUAACCUGCCCUUGACUUUGGGAUAACUUCAGGAAACUGGGGCUAAUACCGGAUAGGAGCUCCUGCUGCAUGGUGGGGGUUGGAAAGUUUCGGCGGUUGGGGAUGGACUCGCGGCUUAUCAGCUUGUUGGUGGGGUAGUGGCUUACCAAGGCUUUGACGGGUAGCCGGCCUGAGAGGGUGACCGGCCCCAUUGGGACUGAGAUACGGCCCAGACUCCUACGGGAGGCAGCAGUGGGGAAUAUUGCACAAUGGGCGGAAGCCUGAUGCAGCAGCGCCGCGUGCGGGAUGACGGCCUUCGGGUUGUAAACCGCUUUCGCCUGUGACGAAGCGUGAGUGACGGUAAUGGGUAAAGAAGCACCGGCUAACUACGUG
rnacentral:rRNA from 1 species